CAGCACACCGGCUCGCUGCGGCCUCUGUCCCCGUCCUGUCAGCCCUUCUCGCCGCUGCGCUGCUGACCUAGACCUUAGCUGUGGAUAGCAGCAGGAAGGGGAGCUGCAGGCAUGCGAGAGACGGGAGAGAGCGUGGCAGAGUGUGGCAGAGCGUGGCGGAGCGUGGCAGAGUGUGGCAGAGCGUGGCAGAGUGUGGCAGAGCAUGGCACGCCCCCCUGCCACGCCAUCCGUGGUGCUACAGUUUCAUUUUCAGUGUAUCACUGAAAUUCAGUGUGAUUGUUUUUGCUUUACUUUUAUAAAUUACCAUAACCAUUAUAAACAAGCUGUUCCACCAAAGACAAUCAGAAAAUAAGCUUUUUUUUUAAACAGAAAACUACAAGGAUCCCACCUCCCCCUUCUCCCUCCUUAACUGUGUAGCCUAUCCCAACACUAACCCUCACCCUGGUGCUUUCAACACAGUUUGACAUUAAAACACUCCCCCCAACUCUGGAAACACUAUUGUCUUUUGGCAUCUUUUUCUGAGAUCUGUAGCCAGUGGACAGCAAGACCUCAACUUUAGAAACAAUCACACAGAGUCCACAUGCACUGUAAA